AGUCUCGAGGGCCACAGGCGUCUCCAGGGCGCCCCUUCCUGGUGACCGCGCCGGGGGUCCGCACGCGCGUCCGCCCCCAGCCUUCGCCGCGCUGGCCCCUGCCCAGAAGGAGGAGGAAGGGAGGGCAGGGGGCGGCAGGGGUCUUCCCGUCGCAGCUUGGGAACCCCGAAAGGCACCUGAGUGGCCGGCCUCGGCCUCCAGGGGCGGCCGUAUUGUCUAAGCUCCAUAGCAACCCCGGCGCGGCGCCGGCCACGCUAGCCAGCGUAGCUCCGGAGCCCGCGCGCAGCCGCCGCGUCGCUCCGGCCCUGACCCGCGUUGGACCCGCGUGCUAGGGCCCUGACGGCCCGCGCGGGCUCCAGGCGCGGGCAGCGGGGACGGCAUGCCCGAGAAGAGGCUCACCGCGGAGCCACCAACUAUUACAGAAGAAGAAUUUGAAGAUUCUCUGGCAACAGAUGAUUUCCUUGUAGACUACUUUAAUGAAUUCCUAAGCCUUCCAACCUUUUCAGAGGCAAUUAGAUUUAAUGCAGAUUAUGGAGUUUUUGAAGUAGCUAAUGAUGCUCCACAACUUCUGGAAAAACAACUGAAAAAAAUUCUACAAAACCAGCAACCUCGAAAUCCCAUCUAUGAUGUUGUAAGGAAAGGAAAGAAUGAGGUUAAACCUGUUCAAAUGAAUGCCCCCGAUGAAGAUGAGACCAUUAAUGUGAACUACAAUAUUAUGUGUCUCAGUCGUGAAGAAGGUAUUAAGUGGAUCAAAAAAGAAAGACUUCCAGCAUUUCUGGAAAGUGAUUGUUACUUUGAAUACAGGUUAGCCAAAUUGGUCUCACAAGUAAGAUGGAGCAAGUCCGGCAUGAAUUUCACAGUAGGAUCAAAUUUUUCUCCCUGGAUCGUGAAAAAACCACCCAGUCUACCACCUCCUGCCACUGAAGAAGAUAAUCUUGUAAUUAUGAAAAAGUUCUAUGUAUCACUUGGUGAGGCUUCCUAUACUCAAACAAAAGAUUGGUUUGCAUUAGCAAAACAAAGUCAGCAAACAGUAUCAACCUUUUCGUUACCCUGUUGUGUACCCUACAACAAACUUAAAUCACCAGCUAUUUCAUCUGUUUCUGAGAAUUUUAUCUUUGAUGAUGGAGUUCACCCUAGGACAAAAAAGGACCCAUCUAAAACCAACAAAUUGAUUUCUGAAUUUGAAGAAGAAGAAGGAGAAGAAGAAGAGGUGUCUGUAUCUCUACAAGACACUCCUUCUCAAGCUCUUCUGAGAGUAUACCUUGAAAAGAAACAGGAUGUUGAUGAAAGCCUGACGAUGCAUUUCUCAACAUGUGAAGAAUUUUUAAGCUCCUAUAUAUACUUUAUUUUGAGAGGAGCAAUUCAGCAAAUUGUUGGAAAGCCAGUUGGAGAAACCCCAGACUAUAUAAACUUCAACAAUAUAACAAAAGUGUCAUUUGAUGAUUGUUUUGAGUCUAUUCAUGGCAAGAAUUUUUUAAGUGAAUUAGUUCAAACUACAAAGGAGAGGUCAGAAGAGAUAGAACAAACAAGUUUAAGUUCAAAGAGUGAGAGCGCUGGACCAGAGAGCAGGGCGGACUGGUGUAUUUCUCAUAGGACUUAUGACAUUGGCAAUAGAAAGGAGUUUGAAAGAUUUAAGAAAUUUAUAAAAGGUACAUUGGGAGAGAGAUAUUGGUGGCUAUGGAUGGAUAUUGAGAGGUUAAAAGUUCUUAAGGAUCCUGGAAGACAUCAAAGACAUCUUGAGAAGAUGAAAAAAUGCUAUCUAGUGAGCAAUGGAGAUUACUACCUUUCUGCAGAAAUCUUAUCAAAAUUUAAACUGUUAGAUGGAUCACAGUGGAAUGAAGAGCAUUUAAGAAAUAUUCAGUCUGAAGUUUUAAAACCUUUACUUCUGUAUUGGGCACCAAGAUUCUGUGUUACUCAUUCAGCCUCAACAAAAUAUGCUAGUGCUGAACUGAAAUUCUGGCACCUCCGUCAAGCAAAACCAAGGAAGGAUAUUGACCCUUUUCCACAAAUGGCAACCCUCUUGCCAUUAAGACCCAAAUCUUGCAUUCCACAGAUACCUGAGAUCCAGAAAGAAGAAUUCAGCUUAUCACAACCUCCUAAAUCUCCCAAUAAAUCACCUGAAGUAAAAACAGCAACUCAAAAGCCUUGGAAGAGGGAGCUUUUGUAUCCAGGUUCUUCUAAGGAUGAUGUGAUUGAGAAAGGGUCAAAGUACAUGUCAGAAAGCAGCAAAGUCAUUCAUUUAACAUCUUUUACUGACAUUUCUGAAUGUCUCAAGCCCCAGCUGGAUAGAAGAUACGCUUAUACAGAAGAACCUAGGGUUAAAACCGUGUCAGAUGUUGGUGCCUUGGGAGGAUUUGACAUGGAAAAUUUGUUGCAAUCUUUGUAUGUAGAAAAUAGAGCUGGAUUCUUCUUUACUAAAUUCUGCGAGCAUUCAGGGAACAAGUUGUGGAAGAACAGUGUGUACUUUUGGUUUGACCUGCAGGCUUAUCAUCAGCUUUUCUACCAAGAAACACUUCAGCCUUUUAAAGUUUGCAAGCAAGCGCAAUAUCUUUUUGCCACAUACGUUGCUCCUUCUGCCACUCUUGACAUUGGACUCCAACAGGAAAAGAAAAAGGAAAUUUAUAUGAAAAUACAGCCACCAUUUGAAGACCUUUUUGACACAGCAGAGGAAUAUAUCCUUCUCCUCCUUCUUGAGCCAUGGACAAAGAUGGUAAAAUCGGACCAAAUCGCUUAUAAAAAGGUGGAGCUGGUGGAAGAAACUCGACAGUUAGACUCCACAUACUUCAGAAAGCUACAGGCUUUGCAUAAAGAGACAUUUUCCAAGAAAGCUGAGGACACCACUUGUGAAAUUGGAACUGGCAUUUUAUCACUCUCUAACGUCUCUAAACGAACAGAAUAUUGGGAUAAUGUUCCUGCAGAAUACAAGCAUUUUAAGUUUAGUGAUCUGCUUAACAACAAACUGGAGUUUGAACAUUUCCGUCAGUUUCUUGAGACUCAUUCUUCAAGCAUGGAUCUUAUGUGCUGGACAGACAUUGAGCAGUUCCGGAGAAUAACUUACAGAGAUCGAGAUCAAAGGAAGGCAAAAUCUAUAUACAUUAAAAACAAAUACCUUAAUAAAAAAUAUUUCUUUGGACCCAACAGUCCAGCUUCUCUGUAUCAGCAGAACCAGGUAAUGCAUUUAAGUGGUGGCUGGGGGAAGAUUCUUCAUGAGCAGCUUGAUGCACCUGUUCUAGUUGAAAUCCAGAAGCAUGUGCAAAAUAGGCUAGAAAAUGUAUGGCUGCCAUUGUUUCUUGCAAGUGAACAGUUUGCAGCACGUCAGAAGAUAAAGGUACAGAUGAAAGACAUAGCAGAAGAGCUCUUACUACAGAAGCCUGAAAAGAAAAUCGGGGUCUGGAAGCCUGUGGAGAGUAAGUGGAUCUCUUCAUCUUGUAAAAUCAUUGCUUUUCGCAAAGCAUUAUUGAAUCCAGUUACUUCAAGACAAUUUCAACGUUUUGUGGCUCUAAAAGGAGAUUUAUUGGAAAAUGGUUUACUCUUUUGGCAAGAAGUACAAAAAUAUAAGGACUUGUGCCAUUCUCAUUGUGAUGAGUCUGUCAUCCAGAAGAAGAUUACAACUAUUAUCAACUGCUUUAUUAAUUCCAGUAUUCCACCAGCUUUACAAAUUGACAUUCCAGUAGAGCAAGCCCAGAAGAUUAUUGAACACCGGAAGGAGUUAGGACCAUAUGUAUUUAGAGAGGCACAGAUGACAAUUUUUGGGGUUCUGUUUAAAUUCUGGCCUCAGUUCUGUGAGUUUAGGAAGAAUUUAACAGAUGAAAAUAUUAUGAGUGUUUUAGAGAGAAGACAAGAAUAUAAUAAGCAGAAAAAAAAAUUGGCAGUCCUAGAAGACGAAAAAUCUGGAAAGGAUGGAAUCAAACAAUAUGCAAAUACUUCAGUGCCUGCUAUCAAAACUGCUUUACUCAGUGAUUCCUUCCUAGGCCUCCAACCAUAUGGCCGACAGCCAACCUGGUGCUACUCAAAGUAUAUAGAAGCCUUAGAACAGGAGAGAAUUCUUCUUAAGAUCCAAGAAGAACUAGAAAAAAAGUUGUUUGCAGGCUUGCAACCUCUCACAAAUUUUAAGGCUAGCUCUUCAACUAUGUCUUUGAAAAAGAAUAUGUCUGCCCACAGCAGCCAGAAGUGACAGCAUUCUUGUGUUUACAUCCUGCUGCUGAUAGGUUCAAGGAAUUCUUUAAACCAGAUUUUGCUGACAUGAGAAGCUCCAGCGAUUUGUUUUUUUGAAGGGUCAGGAUCAUCAGUAUCACCCCUGUCCACCUUCACAUCUUGUCCUACUGAAAGGUCUUAACGGGCAGCAAUAUGCAUGGAGCUGUCAUCUUCUAUAACAAUGUCUUUUUCUGGAAUACCUCCUGAAGGACCUGCCUGAGGCUGUUUCACAGUGUCUCCCUCUGUCACCCAGGCUGGAAUAUAGUGGCGCAAUUAUUGCUGUCUGCAGCCUCAAACUUCUGGGCUCAAGCAAUCCUCCCAGGAUCAGCUCAGCCUCCUGAGUAGCUGGGACCACAGGCAUGUGGUUUUAAUUUACAUUUCUCUAAUAAUUAAAAAAACAUUGACUUUG